AGCAGACUGAUUUUUGUGUAAAACCUGGCUUCUUCUAGAAAGGGUUUGCGUUCAGUUUAUGGCUAGUUGUUGGGGUGCUGGACGAUGCGCAGGCACGGGUCACCAAUGCUUUUUAUGAUCCAUGGAACGUGCCCUUCUAUCCAUAGCUGAAUCUGAAGGAUACAUGAAGUAUGAGUGCUGGUAACUGAUAAUGUAUUUAUUUGGUUAUUCAAAGCUACUCCCUCCGUAACCAAAUUCGGAGGGAGUAUGCAACACUCUUUGUUCAAUUACUACUUAUCUAAGAAUUUCAUUCUACAAUACUUUUUUUAAAUUCACUCAAAUUAAUGUUGCAUCAGUUUCUAGACUUCAAGGUAUAACACUCUACAGUGGACUUGUGAAAUCUGAGAUUUAGUGUUUAGGAUAUUAUGAUUUCCAAAAAUCUUGAAUGUAAAUCAGCAAAUGUGUGAUGUGCAUACAAAAAAGUUGCUAGAAUUUUGAUAUUUGAAUUGAGAUUCACACAUGUCUUACUAUUAGCUUCCCCUUGAAUAAUUAUUUCAAGUCAGCAGCUAUAUGGAAUUGAGGGUUCACUGUUUCA